rnacentral:rRNA from 1 species
GUUAUCCAGACUAGAAUUUUAGUUCUACUUUAAAUUUACCUAAAGCAUAAAUAAGCCAAAUGUAAAUUUAAAUGUUAUUCUAAAGAGGGACAGCUCUUUAGAGUCAAGGAAAAAACCUUCAUUAGAGAGUAACCCUAUUAACUUCCAUAGUUGGCUUAAAAGCAGCCAUCAAUUAAAAAAGCGUUAAAGCUUAACCUAAUUACCAAAACUUAAUACCUAACUCUUCCUAUAAACUCCUAAAUCAACACUGGAUUAAUCUAUUUAGUAAUAGAAGAAACUAUGUUAAAAUAAGUAACAAGAAAAUAUUCUCCCCGCAUAAGCUUAUAUCAGAUCGAAUAAUUCGCUGAUAGUUAACAACCUCAUAAUAUUAAAUAACUUAUAAAUCCAUUAUUAUUUACAUUGUUAACCCAACACUGGCAUGCAUAAAGGGAAAGAUUAAACAAAGUAAAAGGAACUCGGCAAACACUAACCUCGCCUGUUUACCAAAAACAUCACCUCUAGCAUAAAUAGUAUUAGAGGCACUGCCUGCCCAGUGACAUACGUUCAACGGCCGCGGUAUCCUG